rnacentral:rRNA from 1 species
CCUAGUAGCCGCCUCACGCGCACUCGCUUGGCGCCGCCACGCUCCAGCCCUGCUCCCGCUGCCUCUCCCCAUCCGAAAGACAGUGAUUUUUUCACUUUGGAGUUCUUUCAUGGAGGAUUUUUCCAUGGCAGCGGAAGAAACAGGGCCUAUCUGAAUGGGAAAAAGACUUGUUAUGAUUUUUGCGACACUCAGUGUGUAUGCAUGAAGAUGCUUGAAGAUUUGAUAGAGCAUAUUGGGUAUGAGAUGGCUGGUAGGGUUUCCAUGUACUGGUUGCUACCUGGUUCUCAAUUGAAUGAAGAUGGUGCAAGGUUGUUAUCUAAGGAAGAGGAUGUUGUUGACAUUGCGAGAAUGGUAAAAAGUGGGCACCGGUAUUUGAUGAUUUUUAUGGAUCAUGAAGACAGCUACAGUGGUGGUGGAGGACAAGCAUGGAGUGAUGUGGUUGCUACUCCACCGGCAUAUUUACCUCUUGUUAUCAGUCCUAAGAAUAAAAGCAUUGGUAAUGUUAGUGGUGAAGAGGAAAGCAUAGUUGAUGGUAGUUAUGUUGACGACAACACUCUAUGUGAGGCCAAUGAAUUUGUGAGCAUUGAAGAAGUUGUUAGGUUGAGGCCAAGAGGAAAGCAAGGUAAUAUUGAUGAAGAAGAAUGUGGCAGUGAUAAUGAUAGUGAAGAUAGUGACUAUGUUCCCGAGAUUGUAGAUAGUGAUUAUGAUUUGGAGGAUGGUGACGAGGACUUGGUGCAGGAGCAACUACAUUCUGUUAGUGAUAUGAAAGGGAAGCAAGUGGUUGAAGAUUGUAACUCUGAAGAUGAGAAAUUAGAAGCUCCGGAAUCGGAUGAGGAUGAGAUGAAGUUCAAUUUCAAAUCUUUUACAGUCGAAGAUAUGCAUGAUUCAAAGUUCCAUGUGGGGCAACUAUUCUCAUCAGUUGAUUUGCUAAGAAGAGCAAUCAGAGAGUAUAGUGUGAAAGAGAGAGUGAGCAUCACAUUUCCCAAGAAUGAUAAAACUAGGAUUGGUGCUAAGUGUGAGGAUGGAUGUCCAUGGUAUCUUUAUGCCUCAUUGGACAAAAGGACAAAUUCAGUUAUGGUGAAAACCUUCAACGGUGUGCAUCAUUGUAGCAAGAAGUGGCAAGUGAGGGCAUUUACUGCCAAGUACAUUGCUAACAAGUAUGUGGAGAAAAUAAGAGCUAAUGAGAAGAUAACCUUGAAGGGAUUGGCAGCACUUGUGCAAGAAGACUGUAACAUGACAAUUAAAAGGGGGAAACUAGGGAGGGCCAGAGGACUAGCUUUUAAUAUUAUAUAUGGUGAUGAAAUAGCACAGUACAACAAGUUGUGGGACUAUGCAAAUGAGCUAAGGAGAUCCAAUCCAGGAAGUACAUUUUAUUUAGACCUUGAUGAAGAUGGUAAGUUUGAGAAAUGCUACUUUUCCUUUGAUGCUUGCAAGAGGGGCUUCCUAUCAGCUUGUAGGCCUAUUCUUUUCCUCGAUGGUUGUCAUUUGAAGACACAAUACGGAGGCAUCCUACUUAGUGCAGUAGGAAUGGAUCCCAACGAUUGCAUAAUUCCUAUUGCACAUGCGGUGGUUCAAAGAGAAGAUACAAAGGCUUGGAGGUGGUUCUUGACAGCUUUAAAGAAAGAUCUUGGUAUUGUGAGAAGUGCUCUUUGGACUAUCAUGUCCGACAAGCAAAAAGGUCUAAUAAAGGCAGUGGGAGAAUUGUUCAAUGGUUCCCCACAUAGAUUUUGUGUCAGACAUCUUUGGCAGAAUUUCAACAAAAAUUUUAAAGGUGAGGCCCUCAAAAACCAACUCUGGAAAUGUGCUAGAAGUAGUACUGAAGGGAAAUUUAGACAGAAUAUGAAUGAAAUGUUGGUUCUAAACAAAGAGGCACAUGAUUGGCUAGAGGAGUUGGACCCUCCAACAUGGGUUAGGGCAUUUCAAAAUGAAUUUCCUAAGUGUGAUGUCUUGUUGAACAAUAACUGUGAGGUGUUUAACAAGUACAUAUUGGAUGCAAGAGAAAUGCCCAUAAUCAGCAUGUGCCAAAGGAUUAAAGGACAGUUGAUGGGAAGAAAUCAUAGCAAGCUACAAGAGGCCUUGAAGUGGCCUGGUACUAUAUGUCCAAAAAUAAGGAAGAAAUUGGACAAAAAUGUGGAAUUUGCUAGAACUUGCUAUGCUUCACCAGCUGGAUUGGGAAUCUUUAAUGUGAACGAUAGAGGCGUAGACUACGGGGUUGAUUACCAGUUGAGGAAGUGCAGCUGUAGGAGAUGGGAUUUGUCUGGCAUUCCAUGCAGCCAUGGAGUAGCUGCUCUUAGAUAUGACAACAUCAAUCCAGAGGAUUACGUCAACUCAUGCUAUUCUAUCGCAACAUAUUGCAAGGCAUAUGAAAACAUUAUUAUGCCAUGCAAAGAUAUUAGUGAGUGGAGUAAAAUGAAUGGCAGAACUAUCACACCACCACCAUUGGUAAAGCAGAAAGGAAGAAGGAGGAAGAACAGGAGAAAACAACCAGAAGAGAAACAGGGGGAAAAAGGAGUAAAAAUU